UUGUACAUGCCCUUAGGAGUUACAGCGCCUGCAACCACUGUUGCUGGCAGGGACGCGCGUGCCUCUCUCUCCUUCCCCAGCAAGCCUCGCUUCGCCCAAUCCCCGCCUCUUCGUCCGUCUCCGCAGGCCAUCGUCAGCCGCCGCCGUCGCCCGUCAUUGUCUUCCUCACUGCCUGCUUGCCAAAGGGGAGAGGGCGUGACAAAGGGCGUGACAAAGGGGAGCCAUGGAGGAGGAGGAGCGGCCGCGGCAGCAGGAGCUCGCGAUGGCGGAGAAGAUUCCGUGGCGGUGAAGCGGAGCUUGCAUAUGUGCGGACCGCACUCCGCAGGAGAGCGUGCGACACCGGCAAGGCUGCGCCCACGUCGCUGAAGUAGCAGGGGAAGCCGAAGGAGGGGGCGCGGCAUCCCGUGGCCGCGGUAGCCGGCGGGGCGGCCUACGUCGCUGAAGUAGCAGGGGAAGCCGAACGAGGGCGCGCGGCAUCCUGUGGCCGCGGUAGCCGGCGGGGCGACGCGGCAUCGCUGCCUCUGCAUCCACCGCCGUCCCUUUGAGUCUCGCGUGAUGGCCGGCAGGGUGACAGGAGGAGGGGCACGGGCACUGCUGCGCCUAGGCUCUUCCUCCUCGACGAAUCUAGUUUCUUCCUGCAGGUCAUUCAUCAUCUCAUCUCACCGCACUCAUGCCACAUAACCUGCUACAGCCGCGCGCUGUCUGUGGCGAGGGAUUACUUCUCCUGUGCAGCAAUACCCUUUUUGGAGUGUCCCAUGUUUGCAACUAUCCUUAUCCGCAGAGAAAAACAAAGGGACAAACAAAGUCCGGAUGCAAGGCAGGAAAGGCGGUAGUAGGUCGAGAGAAGUGUAGAAGAGGGUUCCUCCAGGCUCCAUCCGUGUACGGUGUCAGUCCGAUGCCUCGGGCAUGUGGCAAUGUUGGGGACCAGCGAGGAAGAUGCUGGUGUACAUCCUUUGGAAUAAAGUUGGAGUAAGCUCUAAGCACCACGGAGCCUACCACGCACGCCAUCUUGUUUAGGAAAGGAUUUAUAGUGUCUCUGAUAUAACGGUUCAGAAUAAAUAUCCAGUGAAGAUGAUGCGUGACGAACAGCAUGAAAGUAACUAUCAAAGAAGAAGAGUUAGAUGCUAACGACAUACCUGUCGAAGAUAUCGGCGUCCAUGCGCUAUGCAUAAGAACCACAGAUCGCUCAAGCAGCGUCGAAGCCUGCCCGUGACUGUUCCAAAUGCAUGCUUAUCAAUCCAGCCAGCUUUGAGGCAGAAACUUGAACGCAGAGGUUCACACAGCAAUGUUUGCCUCAGCAACAACGCCACAGGUUAUGAUAAAUAUCAUCGCGCGGCUUAUGGAAGGAGCUGCUGACAGGAGUAUCUUAACAACAAACUUGACGGAAUUCUUCACAUAGCAAACAUAGAUGAAGGAACGAUGUAUGCCUUCACCUUUAGGCGCAAGGCAAAGUGCCUCCGCCUCUGUCUAACCAUUCACUCCAUAUGACGACACCAUCAUAAACCUUUAGUGUCACCUAUAUACAGCUUGUGUGUCGGACUUUAUGUUUAUAAUGCUCCUUGCUAUCUCUACAUUGGGUAAUGUUAGUAUAGAUAUUA